rnacentral:misc_RNA from 1 species
GGUGAAGAACGCAGCAAAAUGCGAUAAGUAAUGUGAAUUGCAGAAUUCAGUGAAUCAUCGAAUCUUUGAACGCACAUUGCGCCCGCCAGUAUUCUGGCGGGCAUGCCUGUUCGAGCGUCAUUUCAACCCUCAAGCACAGCUUGGUGUUGGGACUCGCGUUAAUUCGCGUUCCCCAAAUUGAUUGGCGGUCACGUCGAGCUUCCAUAGCGUAGUAGUAAAACCCUCGUUACUGGUAAUCGUCGCGGCCACGCCGUUAAACCCCAACUUCUGAAUGUUGACCUCGGAUCAGGUAGGAAUACCCGCUGAACUUAAGCAUAUCAAUAAGCGGAGGA